GACGAACGCUGGCGGCGUGCUUAACACAUGCAAGUCGAACGGAAAGGCCCUGCUUUUGUUGGGUGCUCGAUUGGCGAACGCGUGAGUAACACGUGUGUAACCUGCCCUUGACUUUGUGAUAACUUCAGGAAACUCGGGCUAAUACCGGAUAUGAUCUCCUGCUGCAUGGUGGGGGUUGGAAAGUUUCGGCGGUUGGGGAUGGACUCGCGGCUUAUCAGCUUGUUGGUGGGGUAGUGGCUUACCAAGGCUUUGACGGGUAGCCGGCCUGAGAGGGUGACCGGCCACAUUGGGACUGAGAUACGGCCCAGACUCCUACGGGAGGCAGCAGUGGGGAAUAUUGCACAAUGGGCGGAAGCCUGAUGCAGCAACGCCGCGUGCGGGAUGACGGCCUUCGGGUUGUAAACCGCUUUCGCCUGUGACGAAGCGUGAGUGACGGUAAUGGGUAAAGAAGCACCGGCUAACUACGUG
rnacentral:rRNA from 1 species